CUUCUUCUUCUUCUUCUUUUUCUUCUUUUUUUUCUCUCUAUGCAACAACCCACGACUGGGUACCAGGAAGCCAUUGCCGGAGUUUUCUUUUGCCACCACGCGACGGAGUUGGAGCACCAGUGGCCGGCGACAACCCCAUCCCCAAAAUCUUAGGGCCAUCGGAGUUAAGACGCGCACCAACGGAGCAGUCAAAGUUUCGUCAUCAAAAGUUUGACCGCGGUUUCCGGCGAACCCAGACCUCCAUUCGGUGAGUGGAUGGUACCGUUAGAAUCAGCGUCGCGAGAGGAUCGUCACUCACUAAUUCAUUCCGGUCAACUCGCCAUUUUUCUCCGGACUGAUUUUGGGUAUCUUCGCCCUUUUAGAAGCAUUUUCCAGUGACACCGGAGGUCAUUUGGGCGAAGGAGCUGUACUUUCGUGAUGUACUCAUCGAGAUGAUGGUUUUGAUAUAUGUCAUGCAUAUAUUCGUCGAUGUUUCCGGUACCGCCACCAACUGCUAGUGUGCACCGCUUGGGAAAAACGUGAUAUAAAAAUCGGACUAAAUCACUCUAAAAUCAUCGUUAAGCUUAGAAACGUCGCUUUGGGCUCGGAUUAAAUUCUAAGGAGGUAUCUAAAGAGGAGCCUAGUGACGCGAACGUGGAAAAGAUGAAUUAUCGAUGGAGCCAAUGUGUUUUGCCUAUUUCUAUUUCAUGUCAUUGUCUUAUCUUUUGAGCAUUGAAUAUGUAUUCGACUUCGAACCUAAUGAUCGGUAUAUCUAAAUGAGCUAUGAAAUAGUUAGCGAUGAGGAAUGGUGGAUGCUAAGUAUUAUUUUGGGUGUUUAUGACUUAUUAAAUUUAACUAUUUGGUGAUUACAUAAAUGUGGAAAUAUUAUUGUUUUAUGUAUAAUGA